UCUUGUUCCCAUCCCAGAACGGGGGUUAGGGUGAAACCCUGGGGGAAGCCGCAAAAUGUCCUGCAGGAUGGAGGGAGGAACACGCCUAUUGUCCAGCCGGGGCUUGUCAAGGCUUAGGAAAACAAACCUUGGGAAGCUUUAUACAGGACCUGGGUAGCCCAUGCGGGGCUCCUGGGUCAGGAGACAAGGAGUACCGAAAGGAAAACCUGGAGGAGUCUGGCAGCCCUGACCUUCAUGAGCUGUGGGUCAUCCCCUAGCACAGCCCGGGUCACUUGCUGGUAGUACUUGAGCAGGUCAUCGGUGAGUGAGGAGACGGCACUGGGCACUGCAAGGAAAUCGACAGGAACGACGAACCUAUUUCCGGGGUGCCUGAACAACUGAGUGGACCCUAAAAGGGAAGUGGAGAUACCUGCGAGCCAGCGAAGCCUCAUCAGGCACAGCGUCUACUAAAGCACCUCAUUCUGCGUUUGGCCAAGGCCACUGAACUGGCAGAUAACAGGUAUAGAUGGCGUGCUCAGCCAGCUUGCGGAUGACACCCGGUGAAUACCACGGGUCUGAAGGAGAUGAGCUUCACAUGAGAUUCCUGCAGUAGGGCCUCCACUAAUGGCCAGUGCAGAGAUUGGG